rnacentral:rRNA from 1 species
GCCUUCCCCUUCGGGGGACAAAGUGACAGGUGGUGCAUGGUUGUCGUCAGCUCGUGUCGUGAGAUGUUGGGUUAAGUCCCGCAACGAGCGCAACCCUUAAGCUUAGUUGCCAUCAUUAAGUUGGGCACUCUAAGUUGACUGCCGGUGACAAACCGGAGGAAGGUGGGGAUGACGUCAAAUCAUCAUGCCCCUUAUGAUUUGGGCUACACACGUGCUACAAUGGACAAUACAAAGGGCAGCGAAACCGCGAGGUCAAGCAAAUCCCAUAAAGUUGUUCUCAGUUCGGAUUGUAGUCUGCAACUCGACUACAUGAAGCUGGAAUCGCUAGUAAUCGUAGAUCAGCAUGCUACGGUGAAUACGUUCCCGGGUCUUGUACACACCGCCCGUCACACCACGAGAGUUUGUAACACCCGAAGCCGGUGGAGUAACCUUUUAGGAGCUAGCCGUCGAAGGUGGGACAAAUGAUUGGGGUGAAGUCGUAACAAGGUAGCCGUAUCGGAAGGUGCGGCUGGAUCACCUCCUUU